UGAUGUUGUGACCAUAGUUAGUUUAAUUCGGAUUCGGCAAAAAUUCAGUACAGUAUAAUUCGGAUAAAAUUCGUCUUCUAAUUUUUAAAUUUGUUGAAAAAUACGGCUAUAAAACGGAUUCGCCAAUUAAUCGGAUACGUGAUAUAUACGAAUAUUAUACGUUCAUCAAUUAAAAAUUCGGGAUCAAAAAUUCGGUUAUUAAAUUAAGUUUUUUUUCUCUCAAAAUUUAUGCUAUUAGCAUAAAUACUCAUAUUUCUUAAGAAUAUAAAAUAAAUAGCUACAAAAUUAAGCUAAUUAAGUAAAAAAUUCGAAAAGAGUUUUUUUUUUCUGUUUUUGGGUGAGGUGUUUAGAUUCUAGAAAAGGGAUUUUUUGGGAUUUUUUUGUUUUGGGCGCUCACGGCGCGGGAGCGCGGGCGGGAGCGCAUGCAGCACGGGAGCGCACGCGGGCGACGUUUUUUUGGCUCUGAAUAAUUCGGCGCUCGUAUAAUACGCGAAUAAGUCUUUUUUAUCAAAAAAUCGCGUUUUUUUCGAAUUUUUGGAAAAAAUACGAAUUCGGUCGUUUAAUUUGUGAAUUUACUAACCUAGGUUGUGAGUUGUAUUCGUGGGUUGGAUUCUAAC
rnacentral:lncRNA from 1 species